rnacentral:rRNA from 1 species
GAAGUGCAUGGCCGUCGUCAGUUCGUACUGUGAAGCAUCCUGUUAAGUCAGGCAACGAGCGAGACCCGUGCCCACAGUUGCCAGCAUACCCUUCGGGGUGAUGGGUACUUUGUGGGGACCGCCGCUGCUAAAGCGGAGGAAGGGGCGGGUUACGGUAGGUCAGUAUGCUCCGAAACUCCCGGGCUACACGCGGGCUACAAUGGUUGGGACAAUGGGAAUCAACACCGAAAGGCGAAGGCAAUCUCCUAAACCCAAUCGAAGUCCGGAUUGAGGGCUGCAACUCGCCCUCAUGAAGCUGGAAUCCGUAGUAAUCGCGUUUCAACACAGCGCGGUGAAUACGUCCCUGCUCCUUGCACACACCGCCCGU